rnacentral:rRNA from 1 species
CGGCGCACGGGUGAGUAUCGCGUUUGUAACCUACCCUUAACUGGAAGAUAGCCCCCNGGAAACGGGGAUUAAUAUUCCAUGAUAUUUCAAAGAGGCAUCUCUUUGUUCUUAAAGCUCCGGCGGUUAAGGAUGGGCAUGCGUGACAUUAGUUAGUUGGUGAGGUAACGGCUUACCAAGACUACGAUGUCUAGGGGGUCUGAGAGGAUGAUCCCCCACACUGGUACUGAGACACGGACCAGACUCCUACGGGAGGCAGCAGUGAGGAAUAUUGGUCAAUGGACGCAAGUCUGAACCAGCCAUGCCGCGUGCAGGAUGACGGCCCUAUGGGUUGUAAACUGCUUUUAUACAGGAAGAAACCCCCCGACGUGUCGGGGGCUGACGGUACUGUAAGAAUAAGCAUCGGCUAACUCCGUGCCAGCAGCCGCGGUAAUACGGAGGAUGCAAGCGUUAUCCGGAUUUAUUGGGUUUAAAGGGUGCGCAGGCGGGGCAGUAAGUCAGUGGUGAAAUCCUGCGGCUUAACCGUAGAAUUGCCAUUGAUACUGUUGUCCUUGAGUGUAGUUGAGGUAGGCGGAAUAUGUAAUGUAGCGGUGAAAUGCAUAGAUAUUACAUAGAACACCAAUUGCGAAGGCAGUUUACUAAACUAUUACUGACGCUGAGGCACGAAAGCGUGGGGAGCAAACAGGAUUAGAUACCCUGGUAGUCCACGCUGUAAACGAUGAUCACUCGUUGUUGGCAAUACACCGUCAGCGACUGAGCGAAAGCAUUAAGUGAUCCACCUGGGGAGUACGGUUCGCAAGAUUGAAACUCAAAGGAAUUGACGGGGGCCCGCACAAGCGGAGGAACAUGUGGUUUAAUUCGAUGAUACGCGAGGGAACAUUACCUGGGCUUAAAUGGCAA